AACGCUGGCGGCGUGCCUAAUACAUGCAAGUCGCGCGAACAGACGAGGAGCUUGCUCCUCUGACGUUAGCGGCGGACGGGUGAGUAACACGUGGAUAACCUACCUAUAAGACUGGGAUAACUUCGGGAAACCGGAGCUAAUACCGGAUAAUAUAUUGAACCGCAUGGUUCAAUAGUGAAAGACGGUUUUGCUGUCACUUAUAGAUGGAUCCGCGCCGCAUUAGCUAGUUGGUAAGGUAACGGCUUACCAAGGCAACGAUGCGUAGCCGACCUGAGAGGGUGAUCGGCCACACUGGAACUGAGACACGGUCCAGACUCCUACGGGAGGCAGCAGUAGGGAAUCUUCCGCAAUGGGCGAAAGCCUGACGGAGCAACGCCGCGUGAGUGAUGAAGGUCUUCGGAUCGUAAAACUCUGUUAUUAGGGAAGAACAAAUGUGUAAGUAACUAUGCACGUCUUGACGGUACCUAAUCAGAAAGCCACGGCUAACUACGUG
rnacentral:rRNA from 1 species